UCCCCGUUACCGAGGCAGUCUAGCUAGAAAAAUCCAACUAACUAAAAGGGUUGCGCUCGUUAAUGGACUUAACCAAACAUCUCACGACACGAGCUGACGACGGCCAUGCAACACCUGUCACUGCGGCCCGAAGGCACUCUCUUCUUUCGAAGUGAUUAGCAGGAUGUCAAACCCUGGUAAGGUUCUUCGCUUUGCAUCGAAUUAAACAACACGCUCCACCGCUUGUGCGGGUCCCCGUCAAUUCCUUUAUGUUUUAGCCUUGCGGCCGUACUCCACAGGCGGAAUGCUUAACGCGUUAGCUUCGCUACACAAAGGGUCGAUACUUCGUACAGCUAGCAUUCAUAGUUUACGGCGUGGACUAC
rnacentral:misc_RNA from 1 species